GUUGUUGGGUAGGGGAGCGUUCUGUAAGCCUGUGAAGGUGUGCUGUGAGGCAUGCUGGAGGUAUCAGAAGUGCGAAUGCUGACAUAAGUAACGAUAAAGCGGGUGAAAAGCCCGCUCGCCGGAAGACCAAGGGUUCCUGUCCAACGUUAAUCGGGGCAGGGUGAGUCGACCCCUAAGGCGAGGCCGAAAGGCGUAGUCGAUGGGAAACGGGUUAAUAUUCCCGUACUUGGUGUUACUGCGAAGGGGGGACGGAGAAGGCUAUGUUGGCCGGGCGACGGUUGUCCCGGUUUAAGCGUGUAGGUAUGUGUUCCAGGUAAAUCCGGUUCACUUUAACACUGAGGCGUGACGACGAGGCACUACGGUGCUGAAGCAACAAAUGCCCUGCUUCCAGGAAAAGCCUCUAAGCAUCAGGUAACAUCAAAUCGUACCCCAAACCGACACAGGUGGUCAGGUAGAGAAUACCAAGGCGCUUGAGAGAACUCGGGUGAAGGAACUAGGCAAAAUGGUGCCGUAACUUCGGGAGAAGGCACGCUGACACGUAGGUGAAGUGAUUUACUCACGGAGCUGAAGUCAGCCGAAGAUACCAGCUGGCUGCAACUGUUUAUUAAAAACACAGCACUGUGCAAACACGAAAGUGGACGUAUACGGUGUGACGCCUGCCCGGUGCCGGAAGGUUAAUUGAUGGGGUCAGCGCAAGCGAAGCUCCUGAUCGAAGCCCCGGUAAACGGCGGCCGUAACUAUAACGGUCCUAAGGUAGCGAAAUUCCUUGUCGGGUAAGUUCCGACCUGCACGAAUGGCGUAAUGAUGGCCAGGCUGUCUCCACCCGAGACUCAGUGAAAUUGAACUCGCUGUGAAGAUGCAGUGUACCCGCGGCAAGACGGAAAGACCCCGUGAACCUUUACUAUAGCUUGACACUGAACAUUGAGCCUUGAUGUGUAGGAUAGGUGGGAGGCUUUGAAGUGUGGACGCCAGUCUGCAUGGAGCCGACCUUGAAAUACCACCCUUUAAUGUUUGAUGUUCUAACGUGGACCCGUGAUCCGGGUUGCGGACAGUGUCUGGUGGGUAGUUUGACUGGGGCGGUCUCCUCCUAAAGAGUAACGGAGGAGCACGAAGGUUGGCUAAUCCUGGUCGGACAUCAGGAGGUUAGUGCAAUGGCAUAAGCCAGCUUGACUGCGAGCGUGACGGCGCGAGCAGGUGCGAAAGCAGGUCAUAGUGAUCCGGUGGUUCUGAAUGGAAGGGCCAUCGCUCAACGGAUAAAAGGUACUCCGGGGAUAACAGGCUGAUACCGCCCAAGAGUUCAUAUCGACGGCGGUGUUUGGCACCUCGAUGUCGGCUCAUCACAUCCUGGGGCUGAAGUAGGUCCCAAGGGUAUGGCUGUUCGCCAUUUAAAGUGGUACGCGAGCUGGGUUUAGAACGUCGUGAGACAGUUCGGUCCCUAUCUGCCGUGGGCGCUGGAGAACUGAGGGGGGCUGCUCCUAGUACGAGAGGACCGGAGUGGACGCAUCACUGGUGUUCGGGUUGUCAUGCCAAUGGCACUGCCCGGUAGCUAAAUGCGGAAGAGAUAAGUGCUGAAAGCAUCUAAGCACGAAACUUGCCCCGAGAUGAGUUCUCCCUGAGACUUUAGGUCUCCUGAAGGAACGUUGAAGACGACGACGUUGAUAGGCCGGGUGUGUAAGCGCAGCGAUGCGUUGAGCUAACCGGUACUAAUGAACCGUGAGGCUUAACCUUACAACGCCGAAG
rnacentral:rRNA from 1 species